rnacentral:rRNA from 1 species
UGGGGAAUUUUGGACAAUGGGCGAAAGCCUGAUCCAGCAAUGCCGCGUGUGUGAAGAAGGCCUUCGGGUUGUAAAGCACUUUUGCCCGGAAAGAAAUGGCUCUGGUUAAUACCUGGGGUCGAUGACGGUACCGGAUGAAUAAGGACCGGCUAACUACGUGCCAGCAGCCGCGGUAAUACGUAGGGUCCAAGCGUUAAUCGGAAUUACUGGGCGUAAAGCGUGCGCAGGCGGUUGUGCAAGACCGAUGUGAAAUCCCCGAGCUUAACUUGGGAAUUGCAUUGGUAACUGCACGGCUAGAGUGUGUCAGAGGGGGGUAGAAUUCCACGUGUAGCAGUGAAAUGCGUAGAGAUGUGGAGGAAUACCGAUGGCGAAGGCAGCCCCCUGGGAUAACACUGACGCUCAAGCACGAAAGCGUGGGGAGCAAACAGG